rnacentral:tRNA from 1 species
GGAAGGAUGUCUCAGCAGUUGAAAGGGUCGGUCUCAAAAACCGGAGUAUUGAAAGGAAUACUGGGGGCUGAAAUCCCUCUCCAUCCA